rnacentral:ncRNA from 2 species
GUAAGCCGCCAGGGGUGCUUUUCGCUGAGAGCCCGCCGCUUCCCGCGGCGGGCAACCCGUCGAACCUGACCCGGGUAAUGCCGGCGCAGGGAGCGUGGUCCUCUUCGAAC